rnacentral:rRNA from 1 species
CUUGGGACUGGCUCAGAGAGGUCGGCAGCGACCACUCAGAGCCGGAAACUUGGUCAAACUUGGUCAUUUAGAGGAAGUAAAAGUCGUAACAAGGUCUCCGUAGGUGAACCUGCGGAGGGAUCAUUAACGAGUUAGGGUCUUCUGGGCCCGAACCUCCCAACCCUUUGCUUACUGAACCAAUGUUGCUUCGGCGGGACCGUCCCUCACGGGGGACCGCCGGGGGGGUCACCUCGAGAGAGGUUCCCUCUGGCCCGCGCCCGCCGAUGGCCGACCAAUCAAAUUCUUAACUAAACGUGUUAUUGUCUGAGUACCUGAUUAUUAAAUCAUAAGCAAAACUUUCAACAACGGAUCUCUUGGUUCUGGCAUCGAUGAAGAACGCAGCGAAAUGCGAUAAGUAGUGUGAAUUGCAGAAUUCAGUGAAUCAUCGAAUCUUUGAACGCACAUUGCGCCCCUUGGUAUUCCAUGGGGCAUGCCUGUUCGAGCGUCAUUUGUACCCUCAAGCUCUGCUUGGUGUUGGGUGUUUGUCCUCUCCUUUGCGUUUGGACUCGCCUUAAAGCAAUUGGCAGCCAGUGUUUUGGUAUUGAAGCGCUGCACAUUUUGCGAUUCUAGCCUGUAAAUACUAGCAUCCAGUAAGCCUUUUUUCACUUUUGACCUCGGAUCCGGUAGGGAUACCCGCUGAACUUAAGCAUAUCAAUAAGCGGAGGAAAAGAAACCAACAGGGAUUGCCUUAGUAACGGCGAGUGAAGCGGCAACAGCUCAAAUUUGAAAUCUGGCUCUUUCAGAGUCCGAGUUGUAAUUUGCAGAGGGCGCUUUGGCGUUGGCAGCGGUCCAAGUUCUUUGGAACA